UACGGGGGGAGCAAGCGUUGUUCGGAUUCAUUGGGCGUAAAGGGUGCGUAGGUGGCAUGGUAAGUCGGAUGUGAAAUCCCGGGGCUUAACCCCGGAACUGCAUUCGAUACUGCCAGGCUAGAGUACUGGAGAGGAGAUUGGAAUUUACGGUGUAGCAGUGAAAUGCGUAGAUAUCGUAAGGAAGACCAGUGGCGAAGGCGGAUCUCUGGACAGUUACUGACACUGAGGCACGAAGGCCAGGGGAGCAAACGGG
rnacentral:rRNA from 1 species